rnacentral:rRNA from 1 species
UGGCGAACGGGUGAGUAACACGUGGGCAACCUGCCCCAAAAGAGGGGGAUAACACUUGGAAACAGGUGCUAAUACCGCAUAACCAUAGUUACCGCAUGGUAACUAUGUAAAAGGUGGCUAUACUACCGCUUUUGGAUGGGCCCGCGGCGCAUUAGCUAGUUGGUAGGGUAAAGGCUUACCAAGGCAAUGAUGCGUAGCCGAAUUGAGAGGUUGAUCGGCCACAUUGGGACUGAGACACGGCCAAACUCCUACGGGAGGCAGCAG